AGUGAACGCUGGCGGUAGGCCUAACACAUGCAAGUCGAACGGCAGCACAGUAAGAGCUUGCUCUUACGGGUGGCGAGUGGCGGACGGGUGAGGAAUACAUCGGAAUCUAUUUUUUCGUGGGGGAUAACGUAGGGAAACUUACGCUAAUACCGCAUACGACCUACGGGUGAAAGCAGGGGAUCUUCGGACCUUGCGCGAUUGAAUGAGCCGAUGUCGGAUUAGCUAGUUGGCGGGGUAAAGGCCCACCAAGGCGACGAUCCGUAGCUGGUCUGAGAGGAUGAUCAGCCACACUGGAACUGAGACACGGUCCAGACUCCUACGGGAGGCAGCAGUGGGGAAUAUUGGACAAUGGGCUCAAUCCUGAUCCAGCCAUACCGCGUGGGUGAAGAAGGCCUUCGGGUUGUAAAGCCCUUUUGUUGGGAAAGAAAAGCAGCAGGUUAAUACCCCGCUGUUCUGACGGUACCCAAAGAAUAAGCACCGGCUAACUUCGUG
rnacentral:rRNA from 1 species